AUGAUGGACAGAGGGCUCUCCCAAGAUUCCUGCCUAGAGUGGAAAAAGAGACCUAAAAGCCAAGAGUCACCACCAACAGAGGCCUUUUCUGGUAAAGAGUUACCAAGCAGCAGAGUGAACCUGACAAGAUCCACAGCGGGUGAUUGCUGGCCUUCUACCCGAGCAGACAGUCGGGAGUCUGGGGAUGAGCCAGAGAAGCAGAAGAUGCAUGACGGCAGCUUGGGGUCAGUGGAACGUGAACAAGGGCAAGUAGUGACCCAGGAUGGGGACUGGGGAAAUGCUGAAGUUGUGGGAAAAUACAGCUUCAAUUCAGACUUUCUUUCUGCACAGAAAUUUCUUGUCAAAGAAUAUUUCCGUCAAAUUGACUCAGUUCAAAGCUUCCAGCAUAAUUUUGUUUUAAAAAAUUGUCAGGAAAUCUUGGUAGUGAAGAAAGCUUAUAAAGGCAAUCCACGUGGAAAAGCCUUAGGAAAUCUGUAUAAAUUGAGCAUGGUAAAUAUACCAACCAGAGCAUAUACCUUUCUACACAUGAGAUUAUUAAUGUAGAAAAUAAACCCUAUGGCUUUAAAGAAAGUGGAGAUUUUUUUACCCAUAGCUCAUGCUUCUCUCACUUCGUGAGAACUCAUACUAAGGAGAAACCCUAUGAAUGUAAUGCAUGUGGGAAAGCCUUUAAGAAACUUUCAUCUCUUUCUUACCAUCUGAGAGAAAGCCUAUGAAUGUAAUGAAUGUGGGAAGUCUUUCUGGAAGAGCCUUUACCUCAUUUUGCACCAGAGAACUCACACUGGUGAGAAACCUCAUGAAUGUAAUAAAUGUGGAAAGUCUUUUAGCCAUAAUUCUUACCAUAAUGUACACCAGAGAAUUUAUACUGGAGAGAAACCCUAUAAAUGUGAUGAAUGUGGAAAAUCCUUCAGUGGAAGGUCUAAUCUUAAUGUGCAUAAGAGAACACAUACUGGAGAAAAACCCUAUAAAUGUGAUGAAUGUGGAAAAGCCUUCAGUCACAACUCUCACCUUAAAGUUCACAAGAGAAUCUAUACUGGUGAGAAACCAUAUAAAUGUAAUGAAUGUGGGAAAAACUUUCAGUGUUCAUUUAUCCUUCACUCAGCGUAAGAGAACACACACUGGAAAGAAACCAUAUAAAUGUCAUCAGUGUAUGAGAGCUUUCAGUCAAGGUUCUAACUUUAUUGGGCACCAAAGAACUCAUGCCAGAGGAAAAACACUACAUAUUUCAUUUUAAUAUAUAAAAAUUGUACACAUACAUUUAUUAUUUAAAAAAAAAUUUUUUAAUGUUUAUUUAUUUUUGAGAGAGAGACAGAGCAUGAGAGGGGGAUGGGCAGAGAGAGAGGGAGACACAGAAUCUGACCAGACUCCAGGCUCUGAGCUGUCAGCACAGAGCCCGACAUGGGGCUUGAACUCACAGACCACGAGAUCAUUACCUGAGCUGAAGUUGGACGCUUAACCAACUGAGCCACCCAGGUGCCCCCCCAAAAUUGUACACAUACGUUUAAAUUUUGUGUCAUUCCCAGAGAAGGGCUGAACCUGGGUGGCAUUGGAUACCUUGGAAAAUUUUUCAUUAGUGAGAUCAAAGCUCUCUUCAAUAAUACUAAUUAAUAUGAUCACCCAGUGUGGGAAGGACUAUAGCUCAGAAGUCAAAAUAGGUUGAUGAUAUUUGACUGAAUGACUGAAUAGACUGUUCCAAAGAGUCAGAAUGCUAUUAUUUGCUUCCUUGCUCCCCCAGAGCUACAAGAUUGGGCUGCCUCUAAUGUGUUUCAGGAAGUCAUUAUAAACUAAUUAUGGACAGUGUGUAGAAACAUAGAAAAUUCCUAUAAUACAGUUCACCCUUGAAUGACACAGUUGUGAACUGUGCAGGUCCACUUCUAGAUGGGUUUUUUUCAACAAAUACAGUACAGUAUUGUAAAUGUACUUCUUCCUUAUGAUUUUUUUCUCUAGCUUACUUUAUUGUAAGAAUACAAUAUAUAAUACAUAUGACAUAUAAAAUAAGUGCUAACUGACAGACCGUUUAUAUUAUUGAUAGGGUUUCCAGUCAAUAGUAGGCUAUUAGUAUAGUUUUGGGAGUCAAAGUUAUAUGUGGAAUUUCAGCUGUGCAGGGAGUUAGCACGACAAUCUCCCACAUUGUUCAAGGGUCAGCUGCAGUGAAAUGUGCUGAAUUCUUGUGACUGUGUUGCCCUAUAUGUGCAUUUGGCUAAGGGCUUAGAAGGAAACAGAAAUGAACAUAGCUGAUUAAUGCGUCUUGGGAUAUUGUGUGGCUUCCUUUUAUGUUCAAAACUGCCACAAUUUUACAAUAAGUAAAAAGACAAAGAGGAGGGGUGCCUGGGUGGCUCAGUCGGUUAAGCGUCCGACUUCGGCUCAGGUCACGAUCUCGCGGUCCGUGAGUUCGAGCCCCGCGUCG
ensembl:lncRNA